rnacentral:rRNA from 1 species
CCUACGGGUGGCAGCAGUCGAGAAUCAUUCACAAUGGGGGAAACCCUGAUGGUGCGACGCCGCGUGGGGGAAUGAAGGUCUUCGGAUUGUAAACCCCUGUCAUGUGGGAGCAAAUUAAAAAGAUAGUACCACAAGAGGAAGAGACGGCUAACUCUGUGCCAGCAGCCGCGGUAAUACAGAGGUCUCAAGCGUUGUUCGGAAUCACUGGGCGGAAAGCGUGCGUAGGCUGUUUCGUAAGUCGUGUGUGAAAGGCGCGGGCUCAACCCGCGGACGGCACAUGAUACUGCGAGACUAGAGUAAUGGAGGGGGAAACGGAAUUCUGGGUGUAGCAGUGAAAGGCGUAGAUAGCGAGAGGAACACGCGUGGCGAAGGCGGGUUCCUGGACAUUAACUGACGCUGAGGCACGAAGGCCAGGGGAGCGAAAGGGAUUAGAUACCCUUGGAGUC